UUUACCGAAGUCAUCACGGGGCUUGGUGUUCAGAGAAGCGACGUCGCCAACUUCUUCGCUUUUAGAACAGUCAGUCUGGCCGCAAGACCACGGCCUUACCAAGGGCUCUUGGAAGGCCUUAACAGCAUUACCGGUGGGGACCUCCGCCUCGUGAUGUUGUUGACCAUCACAAGCGAAACGGAUUUGCCAGUCGUGCCUUCUUCUUCCUGGGGGUCGUCCUGCCUUUUGUCCCGCGCCGACGCCUCAAUACAAGAAGCUGUGGAUGCCAUUGCCGGAAUCAAGUCGCCGGUGGUGACCUUCGCCGUGACCGUGAGCCUGCGUUGGGACUAUUUCGCCGACGUCGACGUCAGUCGCUUGGGCAGGAAGAAGCUCAACAGUGUUC
rnacentral:lncRNA from 1 species